rnacentral:ncRNA from 2 species
CACUCUUAUCGGCAAACUGUUUGAAAAAACAGGACGCAAAGCUUCCGGUCUAAGGGUUCGCCAAAUGCAAUGUGCGAAUUUAUGAUAGCGGAGCCGCCAUA